rnacentral:rRNA from 1 species
AUUGAACGCUGGCGGCAUGCUUUACACAUGCAAGUCGAACGGUAACAGGCCUUCGGGUGCUGACGAGUGGCGAGCGGGUGAGUAAUGCAUCGGAACGUACCCAGAGGUGGGGGAUAACGCAGCGAAAGCUGUGCUAAUACCGCAUGUGAUCUGAGGAUGAAAGCGGGGGACCGAGCAGCAAUGUUUGGCCUCGCGCCUUUGGAGCGGCCGAUGUCGGAUUAGCUAGUUGGUGGGGUAAAGGCCUACCAAGGCGACGAUCCGUAGCUGGUCUGAGAGGACGACCAGCCACACUGGGACUGAGACACGGCCCAGACUCCUACGGGAGGCAGCAAUGGGGAAUUUUGGACAAUGGGCGCAAGCCUGAUCCAGCAAUGCCGCGUGCGGGAAGAAGGCCUUCGGGUUGUAAACCGCUUUUGGCAGGAACGAAACGGUGUCCGCUAAUACCGGGCGCUAAUGACGGUACCUGCAGAAUAAGCACCGGCUAACUACGUG